CUCAAGAACGAACGCUGGCGGCAGGCCUAACACAUGCAAGUCGAGCGCGCCCUUCGGGGUGAGCGGCGGACGGGUUAGUAACGCGUGGGAACGUACCCUUUGGUAGGGAAUAGCCACUGGAAACGGUGAGUAAUACCCUAUGAGCCCUUCGGGGGAAAGAUUUAUCGCCAAAGGAUCGGCCCGCGUUAGAUUAGGUAGUUGGUGGGGUAAUGGCCUACCAAGCCUACGAUCUAUAGCUGGUUUUAGAGGAUGAUCAGCAACACUGGGACUGAGACACGGCCCAGACUCCUACGGGAGGCAGCAGUGGGGAAUCUUGGACAAUGGGGGCAACCCUGAAUCCAGCCAUGCCGCGUGAGUGAAGAAGGCCUUAGGGUCGUAAAGCUCUUUCGCCUGUGAAGAUAAUGACGGUAGCAGGUAAAGAAACCCCGGCUAACUCCGUGCCAGCCGCCGC
rnacentral:rRNA from 1 species